rnacentral:rRNA from 1 species
GCGUCGCCACUGAAAGCUCCCGGCUCAACCGGGUGAGGUGUGGCGAUACGUCCGAACGCGAGGCAGGGAGAGGUGUGCGGAAUUCCGGGUGUAGUGGUGAAAUGCGUAGAUACCCGGAGGAACGCCGGUGGCGCAAGCGGCGCACUGGCCCUGACCUGACGCUGAGGCACGAAAGCGUGGGGAGCGAACCGGAUUAGAUACCCGGGUAGUCCACGCAGUAAACGAUGUCGGCUCGGUGUGCAGCGGUGAACCUCACCGCCGCGUGCCCAAGCAUACGCGGUAAGCCGACCGCCUGGGGACUACGAGCGCAAGCUUAAAACUCAAAGGAAUUGACGGGGGCCCGCACAAGCAGCGGAGCGUGUGGUUUAAUUCGAUGCAACGCGAAGAACCUUACCCAGGUUUGACAUGCAGCUGCAAGCGCACAGAAAUGUGUGACCUUCGAGGGUGCUGCACAGGUGCUGCAUGGCUGUCGUCAGCUCGUGUCGUGAGAUGUUGGGUUAAGUCCCGCAACGAGCGCAACCCUUGCCGUCAGUUACAAGUGUCUGGCGGGACUGCCCUCUAUUCGAGGGAGGAAGGCGGGGAUGACGUCAAGUCAGCAUGGCCCUUACGCCUGGGGCGACACACACGCUACAAUGUCGGCGACAAUGCGUCGCGACCGCGCAAGCGGCAGCUAAUCGCCAAACGCCGACCCAGUGCAGAUCGGGGGCUCAACUCGCCCCCGUGAAGGCGGAGUUGCUAGUAACCGCGUAUCAGCCAUGGCGCGGUGAAUACGUACCCGGGCAUUGUACACACCGCCCGUCACGUCAUGGGAGUUGUAAUGCAUGAAGUCCGUGGGUAACCGUAAGGACCAGCGGCCGAGG